AUGUGGCCUCGUUUGAUUUGACAUGGAGUUUUCUUCUUCCUUUGCAUUUAUUCAUUUAUCCGUUGAAGGUUAGGAAGGGUCUCUUGCACAUACAUCGCUCAUUUUCCUCUUGCAGGAGCACCAAAAAAAGUUCUCCCUUUCAAUGUCAAAAUGUUGACUAAGGAUUCUUUGACGGUUACUACAUCUUAUUUAAAAUUCAUGAAAUCUCAAAAUGUUCCUGUUUGGAUCAAUAUUUGCCCAUCACUCGGACCAAACUCAUUCAUCUUGCUCCCACUUGGAAUAAGAUUAUUCUCAAUCCCACUUGGAUCAGGAUCACGUUCAUUUGCAUUAAGUGAUGAAGGUGGGUCUUGAUGAGAAACUAAGAAAGAUUAUAAGACUUUGAAAUUUGUAAUCUAAAACAAGUCAUAGAAUUGGUGUGGCUAUAAAUCAUCUCGUUAAGGGUAAAAAUAGAAGUUUAAAGUUAAAUUGUAUCUGAAUAUAAAAAUCUGUCUUUCUUUUUGGUACAUACUAAGAGGAAAAGUGUGCUACAUAAAUUGAACAGACGGAUUACAAGAAUAGACUCCAUAAUUGCAGGCGGAACGGCCUCUCUGUUCUACUUAUUGGGCAUAUCUGGUGUGACAAGAAUGUUUUGCAGG
rnacentral:lncRNA from 1 species